CUGCUCUUUCUGGAAACCACACAGAAACGUUCAGCCUCUGCUUCUGCCUCAUGAAACUUCAUGAGUUACCAUUAGAUUCUGAUUCAAGUGUGGGCUUAUGCAUCUGUUUGGUGGAGCCUUACUCAUAUUGCACCCUAACCUCAAGGAUGAGGGUUCAGUGAAUCUCCAGGCUGGUAAACACAUUCACACUGAUGUACCUCAACUCUACGGGGACAGAAGCUCCUAAGCUUGGGACCCUCCCGGACUUUGCCCUAUGUGUAUCUUCAUCUAGCUGUUCAUCUGUAUCCUUUAUCACAUCCCUUAAUAAACUGGUAAAUAGAGAGACAGAGAGAGAG